GAUUAAGUUAUUAAGGGCGCACGGUGGAUGCCUUGGCACUAGAAGCCGAUGAAGGACGUUACUAACGACGAUAUGCUUUGGGGAGCUGUAAGUAAGCUUUGAUCCAGAGAUUUCCGAAUGGGGAAACCCAGCAUGAGUUAUGUCAUGUUAUCGAUAUGUGAAUACAUAGCAUAUCAGAAGGCACACCCGGAGAACUGAAACAUCUUAGUACCCGGAGGAAGAGAAAGAAAAUUCGAUUCCCUUAGUAGCGGCGAGCGAAACGGGAAGAGCCCAAACCAACAAGCUUGCUUGUUGGGGUUGUAGGACACUCUAUACGGAGUUACAAAGGACGACAUUAGACGAAUCAUCUGGAAAGAUGAAUCAAAGAAGGUAAUAAUCCUGUAGUCGAAAAUGUUGUCUCUCUUGAGUGGAUCCUGAGUACGACGGAGCACGUGAAAUUCCGUCGGAAUCUGGGAGGACCAUCUCCUAAGGCUAAAUACUCUCUAGUGACCGAUAGUGAACCAGUACCGUGAGGGAAAGGUGAAAAGCACCCCGGAAGGGGAGUGAAAUAGAACCUGAAACCGUGUGCUUACAAGUAGUCAGAGCCCGUUAAUGGGUGAUGGCGUGCCUUUUGUAGAAUGAACCGGCGAGUUACGAUUUGAUGCAAGGUUAAGCAGUAAAUGUGGAGCCGUAGCGAAAGCGAGUCU
rnacentral:rRNA from 1 species